AGAGUUUGAUCGUGGCUCAGAGCGAACGCUGGCGGCGUACUUAACACAUGCAAGUCGUACGAGGAUCGUCGGGUUAGCAAUAAUUCGGCGGUUCGAGUGGCGCACGGGUGAGUAACACGUGGGUAACCCACCCUCGAGACCGGGAUACCCUCUCGAAAGGGAGGCUAAUACUGGAUACGUUCCCUGGGGCGCAAGACCUGGGGGGGAAAGGUGGCGAAAGCUGCCGCUCUUGGAGGGGCUCGCGGCCUAUCAGCUAGUUGGUGAGGUAAUGGCUCACCAAGGCUAUGACGGGUAGCUGGUCUGAGAGGACGACCAGCCACACGGGAACUGAGACACGGUCCCGACUCCUACGGGAGGCAGCAGUGGGGAAUUUUCCGCAAUGGGCGAAAGCCUGACGGAGUGACGCCGCGUGGGGGACGAAGGCCUUCGGGUCGUAAACCCCUGUCAGAGGGAAAGAAGGGUGUCGGCGUGAAUAGCGCUGGCAUCUGACGGUACCUUCAGAGGAAGCCCCGGCCAACUCUGUGCCAGCAGCCGCGGUAAGACAGAGGGGGCAAGCGUUGCUCGGAAUCACUGGGCGUAAAGGGCGCGUAGGCGGGAUGGCAAGUCGGUCGUGAAAUCCUUCGGCUCAACCGAAGAACGUCGGCCGAUACUGCCGUUCUUGAGGGAUGCAGAGGAGAUUGGAAUUCCCGGUGUAGCGGUGAAAUGUGUAGAGAUCGGGAGGAACACCGGUGGCGAAGGCGGGUCUCUGGGCAUCUCCUGACGCUGAGGCGCGAAAGCGUGGGGAGCAAACGGGAUUAGAUACCCCGGUAGUCCACGCUGUAAACGAUGACGACUAGGUGUGGGGGGGUUAGUCCCUUCCGUGCCGCAGCUAACGCAUUAAGUCGUCCGCCUGGGGAGUACGGCCGCAAGGUUGAAACUCAAAGGAAUUGACGG
rnacentral:rRNA from 1 species